GCCCCCCACCCCUUUUUUGGGCCCCCCCCAGGCCCCCCCUCCCUGUCCCGCUGUCGCCGCCUGGGCCGGCGCCGGGAGGAAGCCGCCGAACUCGCCGCCCUCGACGCCUCCAACAUCCUCCCAGCCCGUUCCCGCCGCAGGAGCACCUGGAGCCCCCCAAAAACCCCCCAAAAAUGCGCCUCCCCCCCGGACUGGUCGCGGCUGCGCGGGGUCGUCAGCUCGGACAGCGAAUAAAAACCGGCACUUUUUUGGGUUAAAAAACU